rnacentral:rRNA from 1 species
UCAAGCUAAUAAGGGCUGUUGGUGGAUGCCUUGGCAUCGAGAGGCGAUGAAGGACGCGCAUACCUGCGAUAAGCUCCGGCGAGCUGGAAAGAAGCAUUGAGCCGGAGAUUUCCGAAUGGGGAAACCCAAUGGAGCUAAUCCUCCAUUAUCAUUAAUUGAAUACAUAGAUUAGUGAGGCAAACCUGCUGAAUUGAGACAUCUAAGUAGGCAGAGGAAAAUAAAUCAAAAGAGAUUCCCGUAGUAGCGGCGAGCGAAGUGGGAAUAGCCCAAACCGGAAAUUUAUUUUCGGGGUUGUAGGACUAAUCAUAAAAGCUUAAAUAAACUUAACAUAACCAUCUGGGAAGUUGGGCGAUACAGGGUGAAAGCCCCGUGUGUAAAAGGUAAGUUUAAGUGAGGUUAGCACCUGAGUAGGGCCGGACACGUGAAACCCGGUCUGAAUCUGGGGAGACCACUCUCCAAGGCUAAAUACUACUCGAUGACCGAUAGUGCACAAGUACAGUGAUGGAAAGGUGAAAAGAACCCCUGUUAGGGGAGUGAAAUAGAAUCUGAAACCAGCAGCCUACAAGCGGUCAGAGGCCUAUGCUUCCUUUUAGGAAGGAUGGCUGAUGGCGUGCCUUUUGCAUGAUGAGCCAGCGAGUUAUGUUGUACGGCUAGGUUAAGGGACAUCCGUUCCGGAGCCGAAGUGAAAGCGAGCGUUAAUAGCGCAUUGAGUCGUAUGAUGUAGACACGAAACCAAGUGAUCUAUCCAUGGUCAGGAUGAAGCAGGGGUAAAACCUUGUGAAGGUCCGAACCAGUAUCUGUUGAAAAAGAUUUGGAUGAACUGUGGAUAGGGGUGAAAGGCCAAUCAAACUUGGAGAUAUCUUGUUCUCUUCGAAAUAACUUUAGGGUUAGCCUCGACUUUGAGACUCAUAGGGGUAGAGCACUGGAUUCCCGCGGGGGCCUACCGGCCUACCAACGGAAACCAAACUCCGAAUACUAUGAGUUAAGUCGGGAGAUAGACAGUGGGGGAUAAGCUUCAUUGUCGAAAGGGGAACAGCCCAGAUCGCCGAUUAAGGCCCCUAAUUCUAUGCUAAGUGAGUAAGGAUGUGAAGUUUCAUAGACAGUUGGAAUGUUGGCUUAGAGGCAGCCAUCAUUUAAAGAGUGCGUAAUAGCUCACCAAUCGAGAGACUUUGCGCCGAUAAUGAUCGGGACUAAAGCAUAGAGCCGAAAUCGCGGGUGUGCCACUUUGUGGUACGCGGUAGGAGAGCGUAGUAUGUGCGAUGAAGAUAUACCGUGAGGAGUGUUGGAGCGCAUACUAGUGAGGAUGCAUGGCAUAAGUACACGAUAAAGGGAGUGAGAAUCUCCCUCGCCGAAAACCUAAGGUUUCCAGGGUAAAGCUCGUCUUCCCUGGGUUAGCCGGUCCCUAAGCUGAGGCUGAAAAGCGUAAGCGAUGGAAAGCAGGUUAAAUAUUCCUGCGCCACCUAAAACUAUAACAAUGGGGUGACGGAGUAAGUUAAGCACGCGGGCUAUUGGAUGUCCGUUUUUGUAUGAGGCUGGUCAGUAGGUAAAUCCGCUGACGGAAAGCUAGGUAUGAGACAAGGGGAAUCUUCGGAGGAACCGAUGGUGUAGCGCAAUGCUUCCAAGAAAUAACCUCUAGUUGUUGAUGGUGACCGUACCAAAACCGACACAGGUAGGUGGGAUGAAUAUUCUCAGGCGCGCGAGAGAACUCUCGUUAAGGAACUCGGCAAAUUGUCCUCGUAACUUCGGGAGAAGAGGAGCCCUUGGACGUGAUACCUUCGCGGUUAAGCGUUUGGGGGCCGCAGAGAAUCGGCCCAGGCGACUGUUUAGCAAAAACACAGCACUAUGCAAACUCGUUUAAGAGGAAGUAUAUGGUGUGAUGCCUGCCCAAUGCCAAAAGGUCAAUAGGAGAUGUCAGUCCUUCGGGACGAAGCAUUGAAUUUAAGCCCUGGUGAAUGGCGGCCGUAACAAUAACGGUCCUAAGGUAGCGAAAUUCCUUGUCGGGUAAGUUCCGACCUGCACGAAUGGCGUAACGAUCUGGGCACUGUCUCAACGAGAGACUCGGUGAAAUUGUAGUAGCGGUGAAGAUGCCGUUUACCCGCAGCUAGACGGAAAGACCCCGUGAACCUUUACUGUACUCUGAUAUUGGCUUUUGACUUGUCAUGUGUAGGAUAACCGGGAGACGGUGAAGGAGGCUCGUUAGGGCUUCUGGAGUCAUCCUUGAAAUACCGGUCUUGACAUGUCGGAAAUCUAACGUUGCCCCAUGAAUCUGGGGGACGAACAUUGUCAGACGGGCAGUUUGACUGGGGCGGUUUCCUCCCAAAAAGUAACGGAGGAGUCCAAAGCUUGUCUCAUCGUGGUUGGCAAUCACGAGUAGAGCGCAAAAGUAUAAGACAAGUUGACUGCGAGACCAGCGAGUCGAGCAGGUACGAAAGUAGGGUUUAGUGAUCCGGCGGUGGAAAGUGGAAUCGCCGUCGCUUAACGGAUAAAAGGUACUCCGGGGAUAACAGGCUUAUCGCCACCAAGAGUUCAUAUCGACGUGGCGGUUUGGCACCUCGAUGUCGGCUCAUCGCAUCCUGGGGCUGAAGAAGGUCCCAAGGGUUUGGCUGUUCGCCAAUUAAAGCGGUACGCGAGCUGGGUUCAAAACGUCGUGAGACAGUUUGGUCCCUAUCUGCUGUGGGCGUAGGAUACUUGAGAAGAGCUGCUUCUAGUACGAGAGGACCGAAGUGGACGGACCAAUGGUGUUCCGGUUGUCCUGCCAAGGGCAUCGCCGGGUAGCUAAGUUCGGAAAGGAUAAGCGUUGAAAGCAUCUAAACGCCAAGCCCCCUUCAAGAUAAAGUAUCCCUAUGAGAUGACCUGAAGACGACAGGGUUGAUAGGCUGGGUGUGGAAGCGUAGCAAUACGUUGAGCUAACCAGUACUAAUACAUCCAUCGGCUUGAUCUU